ACAACAACAUUAGGACCGUCGGUCUACCGAGCAAUAUCACCCGCUCGGUGGAAGAUCUUCCCUUUGUCGUAUUCC
rnacentral:pre_miRNA from 1 species